ensembl:lncRNA
UGAAAUGUCAAAAUCUGCUGUUUUCCCAAGAGUUCCUGUUUGGCUUUCAUAAACAUUUAAUAGCAACUUGUACUUCUAAUAGAAAGUUUUAUAUGAAAAAAUGAUUAAUUACUAAUUUCAAAUACUUGGAUUAGCUUUUCCACUUAUAUCUUGUUAGUCAUUCAGGCAUCCUUUGAUGUUGUUAUUGGGCACUUUUGACCAAAGAUGCUGUAUCCAAUCUUUUUAUAAUAUUUAAGCAAGAAGCAAAGUCAAAGAGUGAAUAUUAAUUAGUAAAAUGCAUAUUGUAACAUACAGAUUCACAUUCUCAUUGUUAGUAGUGCAAAAAAUAUUUUUUCCUCUCAGUGAAAGUAGUAGUGUAGGUUCAAAAAGGUGACUGUCCAUUAGGGGAUGAGUCAAGGCUGUGAUGAUGCAGGCCCUGCUUGUUUUGCUAUAAGAGACUCUUCUUGUUUCAUCAGACUUUGGGGGAGCAAGCAGAUUUGGUACAGCUGUGCUGCUGCCUAAUGAAUUGCUGUGUGUAUUAGGUGGACCUGCCCAGGUCUUAGGGUGGUAAAACAUCCAGGUGAGUUAAAUAUCAGCACCUUGGAGCUUUCCUUGUGAGGUGCCCAGGCAUGACUGAUUAGGAGGAGCUGCUGCUGUCAGGACAGUUAUGCAGGUAGAGGCCCUGUCCUCCCUCCCUGGCCAAGUGGGGAAGCCCCUGAAAAGUGAGCUGGUCUAGGCUGAGAAUGGUGACCAGGUUCAGCCACAGAUCAGACAUCGCUAGUAAAUGCCAGGAGAGUGUCUGUGUCUCAGCCACACCAGCACCACCACAUCCAUGCCCUCAGGCAAUGCCAGAGGAGAGUGAUCCGGGCUAUGAUGUGUGCUGCAAGAGCAGAAAUCUGAAAGUAUUUUCUGGCAAAAUAUAAAUUUAUCUGGAAUUACAAACUUUAUGAUAUCAACUCACAUCUAUACAAUGAAUGUAUAUAAUUGAAUUAAAUCAAAAUCAGGUAAGAAAGCUUGCAUGCUCAACAGGUUCCUGUUGUGGUGGUAUGUUUCACCUACGUUGUUCAGCUGCUUGUCAUUGCAGCUAUCUGUAUAAAGC